UCCAGACUCCUACGGGAGGCAGCAGUGGGGAAUAUUGCACAAUGGGGGAAACCCUGAUGCAGCAACGCCGCGUGAGUGAAGAAGUCAUUCGUGAUGUAAAGCUCUAUCAGCAGGGAAGAAAAUGACGGUACCUGAGUAAGAAGCCCCGGCUAACUACGUGCCAGCAGCCGCGGUAAUACGUAGGGGGCAAGCGUUAUCCGGAUUUACUGGGUGUAAAGGGAGCGUAGACGGAAAGGCAAGUCAGAAGUGAAAGCCCAAGGCUCAACCAUGGGACUGCUUUUGGAACUGUGUGGCUGGAGUGUCGGAGAGGCAGGCGGAAUUCCUAGUGUAGCGGUGAAAUGCGUAGAUAUUAGGAGGAACACCAGUGGCGAAGGCGGCCUGCUGGACCGCGACUGACGUUGAGGCUCGAAAGCGUGGGGAGCGAACAGGAUUAGAUACCCGUGUAA
rnacentral:rRNA from 1 species